rnacentral:rRNA from 1 species
GUAGAGAUNUGGAGGAAUACCGGUGGCGAAGGCGGCCCCCUGGACAAAGACUGACGCUCAGNUGCGAAAGCGUGGGGAGCAAACAGGAUUAGAUNCCNGGUAGUNCACGCUGUAAACGAUNUCGACUUGGAGGUUGUGCCCUNGAGGCGUGGCUUCCGGAGCUAACGCGUUAAGUCGACCGCCUGGGGAGUACGGCCGCAAGGUUAAAACUCAAAUGAAUUGACGGGGGCCCGCACAAGCGGUGGAGCAUGUGGUUUAAUUCGAUGCAACGCGAAGAACCUUACCUACUCUUGACAUCCACGGAAUUUGGCAGAGAUGCCUUAGUGCCUUCGGGAACCGUGAGACAGGUGCUGCAUGGCUGUCGUCAGCUCGUGUUGUGAAAUGUUGGGUUAAGUCCCGCAACGAGCGCAACCCUUAUCCUUUGUUGCCAGCACUUCGGGUGGGAACUCAAAGGAGACUGCCGGUGAUAAACCGGAGGAAGGUGGGGAUGACGUCAAGUCAUCAUGGCCCUUACGAGUAGGGCUACACACGUGCUACAAUGGCGUAUACAAAGAGAAGCAAACUCGCGAGAGCCAGCGGACCUCAUAAAGUACGUCGUAGUCCGGAUUGGAGUCUGCAACUCGACUCCAUGAAGUCGGAAUCGCUAGUAAUCGUAGAUCAGAAUGUUACGGUGAAUACGUUCCCGGGCCUUGUACACACCGCCCGUCACACCAUGGGAGUGGGUUGCAAAAGAAGUAGGUAGCUUAACCUUCGGGAGGGCGCUUACCACUUUGUGAUUCAUGACUGGGGUG